GGGGCUAUAGCUCAGGCGGGAGAGCGCUUCGGCAGCGAAGAGGUCUGCGGUUCGAUCCCGCAUAGCUCCACCA
rnacentral:tRNA from 1 species